rnacentral:tRNA from 1 species
GGGAGUAUAGCUCAGUGGUAGAGCAUUCGACUGCAGAUCGACAGGUCCCCGGUUCGAAUCCGGGUGGUCCCU